rnacentral:lncRNA from 1 species
CCUGCCUUCAAGGAGCUUGCAGGUGUGUAAACACAUAUGUCAACAAAAAUAGAUACCAUAAAAGGCUAUCUGCAAAAAAAAACUUGUAAACAAAAUGAUGGUAAACGGAAAUAAGAACAAAUUGCUGUGGAAGCACGGACUGAGGAAAGAGAUGGCUUCAUCAAGAAUGAAGAGUAGAUUUUUUAAGUAGACAAGGGAGGAAAGCACACUGCAGUGGAUGGAACCACUUAUGCAAAGGUGAUAUAAUUUAAAAGGUGUAGAAGAAAGACCAAGAACAUUUGCUGAAAUUGACUCAGAAAAUUUGGGAGAUAAGCGGAUAGAAUAUGAACAAGAAAAGAUCACCUCGAUUGAGUCUUCAAAUAAUUGUGAGACGUGUUUAUUUAGAAAGACACUCCUGGGGAUCCAUAUGUUCAAAGAGAAGAAGAAUGAACUCAAAGGUGAUAUCAUUGUGAUGCAUUUGAUUAAUGGAAAGGACAACAUUAAUGGUUAUAGGAAAAGUGCUUUUACAUAACUUGAAAAGGUAGAACAGACACAACCUCAUAACAUUUCAUUGACCAGGAAUGUAUUUUACCCUGAGGC